rfam:Gossypium hirsutum cultivar TM-1 chromosome 15, whole genome shotgun sequence
AACUCAUGAUGAGGGCACGUUUUUAAGAGAUCCUUAAAUCUCUCUCUUGCAUCAUUCAAUAUCUCAAGCUCGAGUUGAGUAAAAGAAGAGAUGUCAUUCCUCAACUU